CAAAAUUAGGGUCUUACAGGGAUGAACUAUCACAGAUAAAAAUCCACCACCAAAAACUCUGUUGUGGAUCAGAGAUACCAGAAACAGCAAUAUCUCUGCCGGAGAUAACAUCACAAAAGAUAAGGUCCAACAGACCACCCACUCUAGCUGGGGAUUUAGAUAUGCCAGGAAACAGCAAUAUCUCGGCAGGGGAUAACAUUACAAAAGAUAAGAUUCGAC
rnacentral:lncRNA from 1 species